GACGAACGCUGGCGGCGGGCUUAACACAUGCAAGUCGAACGGAAAGGCCCUGCUUUUGUGGGGUGCUCGAGUGGCGAACGGGUGAGUAACACGUGAGUAACCUGCCCUUGACUUUGGGAUAACUUCAGGAAACUGGGGCUAAUACCGGAUAGGAGCUCCUGCUGCAUGGUGGGGGUUGGAAAGUUUCGGCGGUUGGGGAUGGACUCGCGGCUUAUCAGCUUGUUGGUGGGGUAGUGGCUUACCAAGGCUUUGACGGGUAGCCGGCCUGAGAGGGUGACCGGCCACAUUGGGACUGAGAUACGGCCCAGACUCCUACGGGAGGCAGCAGUGGGGAAUAUUGCACAAUGGGCGGAAGCCUGAUGCAGCAACGCCGCGUGCGGGAUGACGGCCUUCGGGUUGUAAACCGCUUUCGCCUGUGACGAAGCGUGAGUGACGGUAAUGGGUAAAGAAGCACCGGCUAACUACGUGCCAGCAGCCGCGGUGAUACGUAGGGUGCGAGCGUUGUCCGGAUUUAUUGGGCGUAAGGGGCUCGUAGGUGGUUGAUCGCGUCGGAAGUGUAAUCUUGGGGCUUAACCCUGAGCGUGCUUUCGAUACGGGUUGACUUGAGGAAGGUAGGGGAGAAUGGAAUUCCCGGUGGAGCGGUGGAAUGCGCAGAUAUCAGGAGGAACACCAGUGGCGAAGGCGGUUCUCUGGGCCUUUCCUGACGCUGAGGAGCGAAAGCGUGGGGAGCGAACAGGCUUAGAUACCCUGGUAGUCCACGCUGUAAACGGUGGGUACUAGGUGUGGGGUCCAUUCCACGGGUUCCGUGCCGUAGCUAACGCUUUAAGUACCCCGCCUGGGGAGUACGGCCGCAAGGCUAAAACUCAAAGGAAUUGACGGGGCCCCGCACAAGCGGCGGAGCAUGCGGAUUAAUUCGAUGCAACGCGUAGAACCUUACCUGGGUUUGACAUGGAUCGGGAGUGCUCAGAGAUGGGUGUGCCUCUUUUGGGGUCGGUUCACAGGUGGUGCAUGGCUGUCGUCAGCUCGUGUCGUGAGAUGUUGGGUUAAGUCCCGCAACGAGCGCAACCCUUGUUCACUGUUGCCAGCACGUUAUGGUGGGGACUCAGUGGAGACCGCCGGGGUCAACUCGGAGGAAGGUGGGGAUGACGUCAAGUCAUCAUGCCCCUUAUGUCCAGGGCUUCACGCAUGCUACAAUGGCUGGUACAGAGAGUGGCGAGCCUGUGAGGGUGAGCGAAUCUCGGAAAGCCGGUCUCAGUUCGGAUUGGGGUCUGCAACUCGACCUCAUGAAGUCGGAGUCGCUAGUAAUCGCAGAUCAGCAACGCUGCGGUGAAUACGUUCCCGGG
rnacentral:rRNA from 1 species